rnacentral:pre_miRNA from 1 species
AUUAUACUCCCUCCGUUCCAAAAUUGAUGUUUUAGAUUUGUCUAAAUACGAAUGUAUCAAGUCACAUUUUAGUAUUAGAUACAUCCGUAUCUAGACAAAUAUAAGACAAGAAUUUUGGGACAGAGGGAGUAGUAA